rnacentral:rRNA from 1 species
GAUGAACGCUGGCGGCGUGCUUAACACAUGCAAGUCGAACGGUGAAGCAGGAGCUUGCUCUUGUGGAUCAGUGGCGAACGGGUGAGUAACACGUGAGCAACCUGCCCCUGACUCUGGGAUAAGCGCUGGAAACGGCGUCUAAUACUGGAUAUGUGAUGUGACCGCAUGGUCUGCAUCUGGAAAGAAUUUCGGUUGGGGAUGGGCUCGCGGCCUAUCAGCUUGUUGGUGAGGUAAUGGCUCACCAAGGCGUUGACGGGUAGCCGGCCUGAGAGGGUGACCGGCCACACUGGGAGUGAGACACGGCCCAGACUCCUACGGGAGGCAGCAGUGGGGAAUAUUGCACAAUGGGCGGAAGCCUGAUGCAGCAACGCCGCGUGAGGGAUGACGGCCUUCGGGUUGUAAACCUCUUUUAGCAGGGAAGAAGCGAAAGUGACGGUACCUGCAGAAAAAGCACCGGCUAACUACGUGCCAGCCGCCGCGGAAA